GUUUGGUCUCUUUCAUUGCUACAGGAAACUUAGUUACCCAACUGCAAGAGCGGGAAGAAGAGGAGACAACCCCCUGCAGUACCAGAUAUUUAGAGAUUUAUAUCGAAUAUAUGAAGGGUGAACGGGUGUGCCUUUAAAAGAACACGCCUCACAGCCUUCAUCUGGGAUGGAUUGCAUUUGAUUAACUACUAGGUCCAGUGUGGCUUAGUCAUGUUUCAUCAUCAAGUGGGGGCGACAGCACAGUACCUAAGCAGAAUAAAUGAUUCACAGGUUCACUGUGCAGCUGAGUCAUCAGCUGGUCCAUCUGCCAGCGGUGUAUCAGGUCCUGGGACAGCAAUGUCUGUGGCAUCCUCUCUGGCUUGUCAGAUUGUUCCUGCAGCUGAGACACCAAACAGCACUUCAGGCCAGACACCAGGUCCAUCCACCAGAGAUAAGUCAAGUCCUGUAAAGACAGUGACUGUGGUAAACUCCAGAUGCUGGUGAAACAUAUACUCCACUCCUGCCCUCACAUCUGUCUCCAUCUCUUUCUCUGAUCCUGAUAAAGUUUCCUGUCUCAGCAUCCGAGACUGACCUUGUUGGAAAGUGUCACAUCACAAAAGAUGAACAAAUGGUUGCCCAUCUGUACAGGAAGAGAAAAUGAGAGCUAAAGAUACAGCUUUUUGUGCGAGUGUGUUCGUGUGUGUGCUGAUUAUUUCCGGUCUCAGGUAUAUCCACAGGUCCUGGA